rnacentral:rRNA from 1 species
AAUAUAAGAUUUGACCUGCCCGCUGAGAUUUUGAAUGGCCGCGGUAUUUUGACCGUGCAAAGGUAGCAUAAUAAUUAGUUUUUUGAUUGAAAGCUGGAAUGAAUGGUUGGACAAGAAAAUUUCUGUCUCUGGUUAAUUUUAAAUAAAAUUUUAUUUUUAAGUUAAAAAGCUUAAAUUUUGUUGAAAGACGAGAAGACCCUAUAGAGUUUUAUUUAUUUAUUUUUAAUGUAAUUUAAGGGAUUUAUUUUUAUGUUUUUUAUAUUAAAUUUUAUUGGGGUGAUAAAAAGAUUUAUUAAACUCUUUUUUUAUUUUUACAUUAAUAUUUGAUUUUUUGAUCCAGUUUAUCUGAUUAUAAGAUAAAAUUACCUUAGGGAUAACAGCGUAAUCUUUUUAGAGAGUUCUUAUCGAAAUAAAGGGUUGCGACCUCGAUGUUGGAUUAAAGUUAAUUUUUGGUGCAGAAGCUUGAAAAUUUAGUCUGUUCGACUUUUAAAACUUUACAUGAUCUGAGUUUAAACCGGUGUGAGCCAGGUUGGUUUCUAUCUUCAUGAAAUUAAUAUGUUUUAGUACGAAAGGACCAA